rnacentral:tRNA from 1 species
GCCACCUUAGCUCAGUCGGUAGAGCAACUGUUUCGUAAAUAGUAGGUCGCGGGUUCGAAUCCCACAGGUGGCU